GAGGUUGGGCCCAGAUUGACAGUUCUUCGGCUUCUUGGGCUGGGCCUACUCUGACCGCUCCCGCCCCACCACCGAUUCUCUUCCUCCGCUCCGUUCCCCACCUCCGUUGGUGCGUCCACCGAGGCGGCCGGGUCGGUUCGCCUCCGCCGCGGUCGAUCAAUGAAUCCAUGCCGGCCUCGUGGCCUGGUUCCUUGCUCUCCUUAUUCUAGGAAUGUGCAACUGAGUGACUGCUGAGCUGUAGAUAAAUGUGAGGAGUUGAGGACAUUAUUUACAAACAAAUGGUAUGUAGUAUUCCAGAUCUGAAGAACUAGACGGAGCAUAUACAACAGAAGUGAUAGUAUAUGAAUAAUCCAGUAUCAGUGGCUUCCACAUGCGUGAAGUUUAGGCGAAGGAAUAACCGAGGCAAGCUUUGCCCUGUAUCUUGCAGAGAGACUACACUGACUGAAUCUAGGACUUCUGGAUUAAUGGAAAGGCUUCUCACCACUUUGUUAGACUUGUCCUUCUCUGGUGUUAUACUGUCAUCUGAUAAAAUAAUUCAAUAGCAAGCUAAGCAACAGUAUACUUCAUACAUGGCAGAGCUCAACUUUGACUUCUCAGGGCUUAAAAUUGAAUUUAUAUGACAUAGCUUGUUUCAUUUCAGAUCAUCUGUUUUUCUUAAGUCAUCGCUUGUUUGAUUGGGUUUUCAGUUAGCAACAUCAUAGUUAGCAGCCCAAGAUUAAGAAUUGUAGUAUCUUCUGAAGAUUAAGACCUCAGUCAUUCUCCGAAAGUAUCAAUACUUGGAAGUAUGAAACUGUAGAUCAUGAACACAGUGUUUCGUCAAUGUUUUUUGAACAACUUAUGUUAUGUGCUUGAUUUUUAAAGGAGUCAGUUGACAACCAGUGUUCAUUUCUUUUCAGCUUUAAUAGUAAAUAACUGAUCAUUAGGUGCAAUUUUCUAUUCAAGCAACCAUGUUACAUGAUCAGUUGGUAUUUAUGGCACAUCAAUUUUGUUAGUUGCGAUGCUAGCAUUCUGAACUGUGUCAUCAUGGUUUGCUUUUAGAACUAUUAUACAUAGAUAAUAAUUGAUUUGGAGAACACUUCAAUUCCUGUAACAAACACGCAAGUUACGCUAGCAUGUCAUGUCAUGUGCUUAUUAAUUCAAAAACAAUAAUUGUGUGCAUGAACAAUAGAUCUGUACGGAUUGUUUCAAUCGUCAAAUCAUGAAGCAUCCGCUGCCGUGAUGGAAAUGCAUUGCAUUAUUCAUUUCCGAUUCUUUGACAUCAUACAUUCUAUACGUGUAUCCUUACUGUUUUUUAUUAAAAGUGGUGAUUAUAUAGAUCAAAAUAUAAGUAGUGCCGAUAUCAUCAUUUGUUGUCAGCUAACGGAUCAUUCCUUGUGCCUUCUAAAUAUGAUUGAAAUUGUCAAUAGCAAAAUGUUGAAUACCUAGCUAUUGAAAAUUUGCAUUGUCAAGGUUUCACGCAACAUAAAGAUGUGGUGCUAUUUUUUUUAGUUCUGUUCAUUUUUCAUAGCAAAGUUUGGAGUACUUUUAUUUUGUUCCCCUUUAUUCACCUUAAUCUAUGCAGAUUUAUUAUCUAUUUAUAUGCAGUAAUAACUAAAAACGACUGUGCUGCUAUGUUAUAAAAUGAUUCUUUGUACAAGUUAUUUAAUCUAUCAUCACAAUUUAUAUAAGGUAAUUUAUGGUCAUAUAGUCAUGUCUGUCAGAUACAGUAGUCAUUUCCUCUUUUGGCAUAUGAUAUUUGGUUCUUCAAUAGAGAACCAAUGAUAUGUAUACUUAUUAACCAGUCAUGGCUGCCGCUAGGCCGCUAGUACUUUGUUUACUUAGGAUUGAUUUUGAAGAAGAUUGGCAAUGCAAGUAAGCUUCCAACAGGUCUGAGGUAUGUGUCUAAUGAAAGCGUCUUUCUUCCAUUUAUUGGUUGAAUGCCCUUGUGUCAAAGCAUCCUAUGCAUAUCAACUUGCACUUACUGAAUAAGGGGAUAUACCUUAUUACAAUUCCAUGUCUAAAUUAAUGACACUAAAUGAAUUUUGAUUUAUGUAUCUUAGUUUGUAAAGUUGCCAUGUCGCUAAUAUUCGACAGCUGUUUUUGUUACAGCAUAUAAAAUGGACUUGAUGCAUCACUCUUUUUAGAAAGGUAAAACCUGAGCUCACCAAACACUUUCUAGCUCUGCCUUGAGGGAAGAAUAGCACCAUUGAAAGGACAAUGCAAACACCAAACAAAAAGGGCGAAGCGCAGCAAAGGGGCCGGAAAAGAAGUCCUCAACGAUUUUCUGUUAAUUGAAUGAUAUGGCAUCCUAGAGUUUGUUGAGAAACAUAGGUGCCAUUAUAUUUGUCUGAAGUCCCAAAGCUCUCAAUCUAUUAUGCCUACAAGGCUAGCUGCAUAUGCAUCAUUAGCCACUUACACUUCAAUUAUUCGUGACUAAGAAUUCAGGAAUCUUUUUCUUGAUUAUAUAGACUUCUGUACAAUCUGUCUCCCUUCUCUUAUUUACUUGGUUGAAAAGACCAAUAAUGGAUAAGAAUCUAUUAUUUGAGAGGUUAAGAUGUGAUCACAUAAGUCCCUGUAAUUGUUGCUCCUUGCUAACGUUCACUUAAUGAGAAAAAAUACUAAUAACAUAAAAUUUCUGCCACUUUACUUCACUCAUUGCUCAUUGAAGUAAAAAAUGUUGUGG
rnacentral:lncRNA from 1 species